rnacentral:rRNA from 1 species
GAUCAUAGCUCAGGAUGAACGCUGGCGGUGUGCCUAACACAUGCAAGUCGAACGGACUUUUCAUGAAGCCUAGCGAUUGAAAAGUUAGUGGCGGACGGGUGAGUAACGCGUGGGUAACCUGCCUUGUACUGGGGGACAACAGUUGGAAACGACUGCUAAUACCGCAUAAGCGCACAGCUUCGCAUGAAGCAGUGUGAAAAACUCCGGUGGUACAAGAUGGACCCGCGUCUGAUUAGCUGG